rnacentral:rRNA from 1 species
UACGGAGGAUGCGAGCGUUAUCCGGAUUUAUUGGGUUUAAAGGGUGCGCAGGCGGCGAGUUAAGUCAGCGGUCAAAGCCCGGGGCUCAACCCCGGCCCGCCGUUGAAACUGGCAGACUUGAGUUGGCGAGAAGUACGCGGAAUGCGCGGUGUAGCGGUGAAAUGCAUAGAUAUCACGCAGAACUCCGAUUGCGAAGGCAGCAUGCCGGCUCCACACUGACGCUGAGGCACGAAAGCGUGGGUAUCGAACAGG